rnacentral:lncRNA from 1 species
GAGGGUGACCAGGGUUGUGACCAUAAUGUGGUGGCUUCUCUCCCUUAGGUGGUUUGCCAACUGGGGUUGGUGGCUUGUAUGAGUCUUCAGCAUUCUCAGCAGGAGGGUGACCAGGGUUGUGACCAUAAUGUGGUGGCUUCUCUCCCUUAGGUGGUUUGCCAACUGGGGUUGGUGGCUUGUGUUCUGGGAGUGGCUUCUCCCCCUUGGGAGGUUUUUCCAAUGGGGUUGGUUUGUGUUCAGGAGGUGGCUUCUCCACUGGAGGCUUGUGUUCAGGAGGUGGCUUCUCCACCGGAGGCUUGUGUUCAGGUGGUGGCUUCUCCACCGGAGGCUUAUGCUCUGGUGGUGGCUUCUCGAAUGGGGGAUGCUUAGGAUAAUCAGCAAGUGAGGGGGCGGUGAGAACCACCAGGCCAAGCAACACCACUAGCAAAUAUGUAGGAGACAUCUUUGGGUUUGGGCUCAGAUGGUGCAAAACUAGGAGAAUUGGCUAGCCUUUUAUAGCGGAUCGUACCCAAUAAUGAAAUGACACGUGUCAUUAUGACCCAUGUGUAAUGGGGUCGAUUUGGGUCCUACAGUGUUGAAAACUUCGACAUCCACUUUUGGCCUUUUGCUUUCUCUACAGCCGCCUUGCUUUUUCCCUCUUUCCUUUUGUUUUCCUCCUGCCCCAUUCUAUCAACUAAACACAAUUAUGUAGUUGUUUAAUUCUUAAAUGAGAUAUUAUCCGUCAAUCGUAUUAUAUUUUAUCAAGAGAGAACGGAGUGCAAUGUGGCUGUAAUUUUAUCGUUUAGUUUUAUCUCUUGGACCACUGCAUUUUUGUUAAGAGGUGCAAUAAUACACGUCUUUAUCUGCCAUUCAAUAUUUACAGUAAAGAGAGGGCACAAAACUCUUCACUUCGCACCAUAAUUAUUUUGUUUUCUGGACACCCCGGGGCCCUUUGGUUGGUUUGGGGGUCAGAAAGUGAACAUCAUAGGGGGUUUUUCCCUUAUGUGCAUUUGUAUCUGAUGGCUUUAACUCGCCUUGUUACUACAAAGAAACUGUCACAGAUAGGAACUUAUUCCAGGCUGAGUAUCUCCUCAUAGACCCUAUAAAAGAAGACAAGUCAUAAUGAACAUCUAACCUUUGUUCAAUUUGAUUCAAUGCCCCCAUUGUGUCCAUCUCACAAAUCUGAAUUAUUAUAUCCAUUGAAUACAUAAAUUAAUGAAGAAAAUAUGAAACCCAAGAUACAUCUCUGCACAACCUCAACCCUGGUUGCUAUGUUUCCCUUCUAUUCACAUGAUUUGAUGCUAAUUGCCAAACUUGCAACAAGCCCUGAGUUUGACACCUAGUAUCGAUGGGCGAAUUUAAAGUCUCCUCCAAACAUAUAUUCCACAGCUUGAAGCUCACAGAAGAUGUUACAGGCAGGGAAAAACCUUCAGAGUUCGCUACCAAAGAUAAUUAUUAAGGAGAUAUCACAAAGAGAAUUCCAAGGGGUCUGAAUCAAAGACAAAUUGGUCGUUCGUGGGGGUUCUUACUUUCUUUUGGGUAUAACUCACUGAGGGCACUGUCUUUGUUAUUUGCAUUUCACAUUUAGAGUUCUGUUCUGGAAACAUAUAAAAGGAGCAUCAUUUUGUUCUUGGGUAACCCAUAGUCGUGAGUGGGUCCAUUUGCAUGCUACUUAGUUGAAAAGUUGGACCAUUUGCUCCGACGCCUACCUCCCGGAUUCCAUGCUCGGAUAAAACAAGAAUAAAAAAAAUAUUUAUAAUUUACAAAUGGGGGAAAGAAAAAAAUGUCAACAACAAACCAGGAAAAAAGAGUAGUAAAAUUCAUGUCACAUGCUAGUGAGAGAAGGGGUUGUUACACUCACUCGAAGUUCUUUCCAAAAUAUCGCAUGGUAUUUUAUUUUAUGUGUCAGCGCAGUUGUGAAUGGAACGUGCAAAAGUCCAAAUUGGCGUUUUUCCUUUUCCCGUGUAGGAUGGCGACCUUUAAUAAAUAUUUAAAACAAAAAACGAAAAAAAGGAGGGAAAAGGGAUCAGAAAAGAUAAAACAAUGUGUACAAGAGCUCAAUUAGUUUGCAAAUUACUGUUUGGAUUUUGAUAGUAUUUUAUUUGUCCAUCUAUAUUUGAUGGAAAAGAGAAUUUAAGAUAUUUCUGAAACAAAAGCAUUAGUGUAAAACUAAAUUAAGGUAUAAUUAAGUUAGUUCAAUGCAUUAAUUUAAGAAACUUGAUCUAUCCAAAGUACAAAAUUAGAUGAAAUCCAUUUCAAUGGUUAAAAUGAUCAAAAUCAAACUUUUUCUAAGUAUUUUUUAAAAGCAUCAAUAUUAAAAGACAAUUUUAUAUUUAGUCGGAGUUUGGACAAAACCAAAAAGCACACAAAAUCCAAGCGACCAUCUCUAGCUUGGAUAGUCACUUGAUCCCACCUAGAGAUGUGCAUGAGUAAAAGGAUUUGAAAAUGGAAAUUGACUAAAUAUUUAGUUGAUCAAUUAAAUUUGCAAUGUCAUAUGCAAUCCUAAUAGCUAGUCAUCUAAUCAAUUAGGUAGUCAAUCAAGUGUUUGUAAUGACUAUUUUGUACAAAAAACCACAUGUAUAGUUAAAUAUAAUGCAUUUCAUUUAUAAAUCUUCUAAUUCUUGAAUAACGAUCCUAUCAUCCUUUGAAAAUUUUUAUUACACCUUUUUUACUUUUGUUCUAAAACUUACAUAUCACCCUUAAUUGUACCAUGAGAACCUAGCUAUUUUUUUUUUUUUUGUAAUUCAUCAAAGUUAGCUUUUGUAUUCAUUGUUGUAUUAUUUUUAGUAUAACUUAGAAAGCUAGUGUUUUCAAGUGAGUAAAAUUAACUUGUAAAUAUUGUAAAGAUUCAUUGAUAUGUAUCUUAAACUAAGUGUACAAAUUAAAACAUUUGCUAGUAGAUUUUCUCAAAAUUUAGAAUAGAGCUUGAGGCUAUUGAAAUAGGUGGGGUUACACCAAACCACAUCACAUCGUUGUUUGCACCUUUUUUCACUCUCUUUUACUUAGUUUCUCUAUAUUUGUUGUCUAGUAAUAUCCUAUAGGCUUGAUGGGUUAGGGAGCAUCCCUUUGUGAAAAAAUUUCAUUCAAUUCUUAGUUGUAUUACGCAUAUAUAAAAUGCCUCAUUGUUUUAAUGGUAUUCAGUCGUGGCAUCACAGAUAUGGGCAUCUAAAUUUUAAAAGUUUGAAACUUUUGUAAAGCAUGUUGAUAAAAUCCAUGAGAGUUGUGUACUUGGGAAGCAACAUCGAGGUGACUUUAUUUUUUUUUCCUUUUAUAAUGCCACACCUAAGUCCGGUUUCUAAAUGCUAAAGUGAAAGGGUAGGUAUGGACCAUUGAAAUGUGAUCACAACUUUUGGCCUUUUCCUUUCUCUGCAGCCAUGUUGUCUCUUUUUUCUUUUGCAUGAUUUUCUUACCAAAACAGAAUCAUAGACUUGUUUAGUCUCUAAGCUACUAUAUUAUAUCUCGGUGGACUUUUAAGAGUGCAACCGACAUAGAGCACAUGCAAGUGGGCAUAUGGGACAUGAAAUUUCUUCUUACAAAGAUUGCAUGAUUUUUAUAUUAGAGUUGUUCACGUGCAAUGUAUUUAGCUUGUUUUGCAGUUAAAUUAAUUGGAUAAGUAAACAUUGGCAUUUCUAAAUCGACUGUGAAGUGCUUCAUGUACGUGUAAAGUAUUAGAAAUUUCUUUCUUGGCAACUUGUUUUUUCCUUGCCAUCUACUGGUAGGUUUGACUAAAAUUAUAUUCCCUGUCAUGCUAAUUAAUUUUCAUGUGCAUGCUCAAAAGAAGAGUAUGACCUUAGUGCACCAAAAUCACUUUGAUUAAUUUGUGAUAGGUUUUUUUGCAUCAUUUAGAUAAUGUUUAGUUCUAAGAAAAAUUUAUAUAAAAAUGGUUUAUUUAUCUUACAUAUAUAUAUAUAUAUAUAUAUUUUUUUUUUUUUCAUUUUUUUUUCUUCUAUUUUAUUUAUUUAUUUUAUUUUCCUUAUGUUUUCCUCACAUUUUCCGGAACUAAACAUAGUCUUACGAAAUCAACAAUUGCCUUCAACUGAGUAGAUUCUGUUGUUUUAGCAAUGUUAGGCUGCUAACUUGUGGUGGUACGAACCAAAUGACCCAUGUUAAUCUUGGCUUGGUUUGAUUUGGCUCUAUCUCAGAGAGCUAAAGGAUCACGUCAACUCUGGUUUCUACUAUUCAGGUCCAUUCCCAGAUGAACUGGUUCAAAUUUGAGAAAAUGGUAACAGACCUUUAGUGAUGUUGGUUUGGAGCCAGUUGCCAAACCCGCCCUGAGCUUUACCACUAAUGUCAAGGGAGAAAGCCAUUUGAACAAAAACAAUAGCUUCAAGAGACUGAAUCGUGGAUGAAAUCUGAUCCACAUUUCUUCUCAUUUUGGGAAAAAAUGAGAACUUAACUACAAAGAUUCUACUGCCUCAUUCAUAGUGCUUUUCCUGAUCCAAGGUUGGUUCGUUUCCCAAAUUGUGAGGUGCACGUGCCACUCUCACGCUCAGGAGUGUAUCCACGUGGUGGACAUCAGAUGGUGGCUUAAUAUCUGGUGUCGGUGGCUUUACUUUACUAGGAGAGUAGUGUGUCUUCAUCUCAUUCACUGCCGGAGGGUGGCGUAAGCAGUGACGCUAAGGUGGGGCACAGUCAAUAUCAUUUGCAUUUGACCAUUAUAGUUUUCUCCCGGCUUGAAAGUAACCUUAUCGUGAUAAAGGAUUACUAGCACUAGUUCAGAUGACCGUCAUGUUAAUUCGGACCAUGUUUGUGUCACAUUAUCAGCAACCAUGUGUUUAUGGUUCAUGCUAUCUGCAACUAAACUUGAUAUAUAACCAGGUGAACUUCAAUCAAAAUUCUGGAAGUACUCUUGUGAUAGAUGGUGCCUGUCUGCAGAGUCCAUCAAUUGAAAAAUGGAGUGAGUGUAUCUAUAAGAGGGAAGGCUUGGCAAAUGUUCAGUUUUCUGGGAAUUCAACAAGGAUCUAAAAUAGAUUGUUUUCUUUGCCGACUUCAAUGGUUGAAAUUUGAGAAGAUUGUGUCCACAUAUCACAACUAUUACUGGUCCUUCUGUUGCAAUUUAUCCUGUAAGGCUCUAACAUGUCUUCCAAUUCCCACUUCCCUGUUACUCCAGGAAAGCUAUUUCUGUCAUUGUGAAGAAGAAAAGAGAAUGUACAUAUCGAUGCUUUUAAGUGACUGGAGCAUUCAUAUCAGGUGGUCUGCAGCCAUAUAUGCCACUUUGUGAAGGUUGGAACAGUCAAUCACUAGGCUAUAUAUUGGUGUGGCCCAGCCACUUCAAUCAAGGACAAGUCUUCAUACUUAAAGUCAAAUUCUGCCUUUAGUCUCAUUAUAAAUUGCUGUUUAAAUAUUAAGCAAACUUUUGUUUAAUGCGAUUAAGACAGUACUAACUCAAUACUUGUUCUAUUUUUGGAUGCAAAUGCUUGAUGGUUUCAUCAUUGGAUGGGAUAAAGGUGCAUUCAUGAUUAUGAAUACUUGUAGUUAUAUUUUCAUUCUCUUUUUUCUCAAUGAGACUUGUUGGCACAAUGUUGCUGUUCAGAAACCUACCUCUCCAUGGAAAAUAAGUUGCGAUUGAUAGUACUGGAUAUGUUCAAGAAAGCUAAAUAUAGAUAGCACAAAAUAUUAUCGAUAUAAAUAGCAUUAACAGCGUACGUAUGUCUCAAUGCUCAUCAGCUAUAAGCAUGGGACAAACACUUACUAUGAGCAACUUACGUCAAAAUUCCAGAAUAGGACAUAGAAGUGACAGAUCUAUAUAUAUAGAACACUGCAUAUGAGUCACAAGAAAGGAAAUUACGGGUGCAUAGCAGCUCUUAUUUUACAUACUACUACUCAUACUGAUCAAAGUCACUCAGUUGGGAUGGGUGGGAGUAGGAGGUUUGUGGGGUGGCUUGUGCGGAGGAGUUGGCAGCUUCUUUCCAGGACCUGGUUGCUUCUCUGCUGGAGUUGAAGGAGGCUUAAUCUUCCGAGGUGGCUUGUAUGAGUCUUCAGCAUUCUCAGCUGGAGGGUGACCAGGGUUGUGACCAUAAUGUGGUGGCUUCUCUCCCUUAGGUGGUUUGCCAACUGGGGUUGGUGGCUUGUAUGAGUCUUCAGCAUUCUCAGCAGGAGGGUGACCAGGGUUGUGACCAUAAUGUGGUGGCUUCUCUCCCUUAGGUGGUUUGCCAACUGGGGUUGGUGGCUUGUGUUCUGGGAGUGGCUUCUCCCCCUUGGGAGGUUUUUCCAAUGGGGUUGGUUUGUGUUCAGGAGGUGGCUUCUCCACUGGAGGCUUGUGUUCAGGAGGUGGCUUCUCCACCGGUGGCUUGUGUUCAGGAGGUGGCUUCUCCACCGGAGGCUUAUGCUCUGGUGGUGGCUUCUCCACCGGAGGCUUAUGCUCUGGUGGUGGCUUCUUGAAUGGGGGAUGCUGAGGGUAAUCAGCAAGUGAGGGGGCGGUGAGAACCACCAGGCCAAGCAACACCACUAGCAAAUAUGUAGGAGACAUCUUUGGGUUUGGGCUCAGAUGGUGCAAAACUAGGAGAAUUGGCUAGCCUUUUAUAGCGGAUCGUACUCAAUAAUGAAAUGACACGUGUCAUUAUGACCCAUGUGUAAUGGGGUCGAUUUGGGUCCUACAGUGUUGAAAACUUCGACAUCCAGUUUUGGCCUUUUGCUUUCUCUACAGCCGCCUUGCUUUUUCCCUCUUUCCUUUUGUUUUCCUCCUGCCCCAUUCUAUCAACUAAACACAAUUAUGUAGUUGUUUAAUUCUUAAAUGAGAUAUUAUCGGUCAAUCGUAUUAUAUUUUAUCAAGAGAGAACGGAGUGCAAUGCAGCUGUAAUUUUAUCGUUUACUUUUAUCUCUUGGACCACUGCAUUUUUGUUAAGAGGUGCAAUAAUACACGUCUUUAUCUGCCAUUCAAUGUUUACAGUAAAGAGAGGGCACAAAACUCUUCACUGCUCUGCAUGUGUCCCAAAAAUGCGAUUGGACAAAUUAUGAUUUGCAUGCUAAAAAGAGGCAAAUGAGGUUAAUUCGCACCAUAAUUAUUUGGUUUUCUGGACACCAUAAAAAGAUGUUAUACAGGCAGGGAAAAACCUUCAGAGUUAGCUACCAAAGAUAAUUAUCAAGCAGAUAUCACCAAGAGAAUUCCAUAGAGUCUGAAUCAAAGACAGAUUGCUCGCUCGUGGGGGUUCUUACUUUCUUUUGGGUAUAACUCACUGAGGUCACUGUCUUUUUUAUUUGCAUUUCACAGUUAGAGUUCUGCUCUGGAAGGUUUGUUCUGGAAACAUAUAAAAGGAGCAUCAUUUUGUUCUUGGGUAACCCAUAGUCGUGAGUGGGUCCAUUUGCAUGCUACUUAGUUGAAAAGUUGGACAAUUUGCUCCGACGCCUACCUCCUGGAUUCCAUGCUCGGUAAAACAAGAAUAAAAAAAAAUAUAUAAUUUACAAAUGGGGGAAAGAAAAAAUGUCGGAAAAAAUAGUAAAAUUCAUGUCACAUGCUAGUGAGAGAAGGGGUUGUUACACUCACUCGAAGUUCUUUUCAAAAUAUCGAAUGGUAUUUUACUUUAUGUGUCAGCGCAGUUGUGAAUGGAACGUGCAAAAGUCCAAAUUGGCGUUUUUAUUUUUCCCAUGUAGGAUGGUGACCUUUAAUAAAUAUUUAAAACAAAAGACGAAAAAAAAAAGGAGGGAAAAGGGAUCACAAAAGAUAAAAUAAUGUUUACAAAAGCUCAAUUAGUUUGCAAAUUACUGUUUGGAUUUUGAUAGUAUUUUAUUUGUCGUUCUAUAUUUGAUGUAAAAGAGAAUUUAAGAUAUUUCCGAAGCAAAAGCAUUAGUUUGCUCUGUGAUGUCCCACAUCGAAUAGGGGAGAAAGUUUCUGGCGCUAUAUAUGUAGAGGCUCCUCUUAACCAAGUAGAUGCGUUUUAAAACCAUGAGGGCCCCCUUAGGUCCAAAGCGGACAAUAUCUACAUGAUUGGGUGUAAGUCAUUACAAAUGGUAUCAGAGCCGAUCCCCGACCCCGGUGUGGGGGUUUGUUUGGCCCUGUAAGGGGUGUUUGUCUGUUUGACCCCACAAUCCCAUGGGACACAACGAGGACGUUGUGUCUGCAUGGGGGGGCGUUUGUGAUGUCCCACAUCGGAUAGGGGAGAAAGUUCCUAGUGCUAUAUAUGUAGAUGUUUCUCUUAACCAAGUAGAUGCAUUUUAAAAUUGUGAGGGCCUCUUUGGGCCCAAAGCGGACAAUAUCUACAUGGUUGAGUGUAAGUCAUUACAUGCUCCAUGUCAAUUUCAGCAUUUCUCAUAUGUUUCACACAUACACAGAAGAGCAUCGUUUUUUAAAGCAUGCAUUUAUGUUGGAUUAAUUUGGAUUUUGUGGGAACUGGGGCAAGGAUCACAUGGAAGAGAGGUUGACUUUUUUCAGUACUUCAAUGGUUGAAAUAUGUGAAGGCUUGAUUGAUACUAAAGCUUGAAAUUGCGACUCUGUCAUUUGUAAAAAAAUAUGACAGCUUCCAUGCUCUCGUUUGGUUGCAUUGUCCGGUCGAGAGGUGCAAAAAGCAUUCUCUCUCUUCUAAUAGUCUUUUCGUUUAAAUCAAGGGAUUUGCCUUCCCGGUCGAGGUCCAAUAGAGGGUAACGGUCACCUACUAAACAUUAAAUGCUCCAACAACUAGUGAACUGAUCGACCCCAGCUCGACUAGUUGAGGUUACUUUUUGGUUUUCUUGUCUCCCGAGGUUAGAAACCUAUAAAUAGAGAGCUUCACUUCAUUUAUGAGUAAGAGAACACCUAAAUUUAUUUGUUUACCUACUUGUUUUUGCCAUAAAAGCUCUCAUUUCUUUUCUUGGUGUAUUAAAUCUCCAUUUGCAUAUCCUUUAGUGCACCUUUGUGAUUCAUUCUAGCCUUGAGUUGUAUUUAAGCCUUUGUUGAGCUAGGUUGAGAGUUUCAUACUUGUUUAUUGAGUGUUAAAGCCUUCAAGUGAGUUAAAACUUGAAGAGAUUGUGUAAGAGCCCAUUGGAGUCGGAAUCCAAGUGUAAAGGUGAUUAAAAGCUUGGUUGAAGCUUCAAGUUAGUGGAACUCUCACUCGGUUAUGAGCUUGAGAAGAGUGGACAUAGACAAGGCAGUGUCGAACCACUAUAAAAUCUGAGUUUGAUUUCUCUAACCUUAUCUCUUUAUAUUUGCUUCUCUUGUGCUUAAAUUUUUUGUGUUUAAAAAGAAUUUUUAAAAACUCAAUUCACCCCCUUCUUGGGAGUUUUUCUCUUUUAAGAUCAGCUUUUAUUUUCUCAAUUGGUAUCAGAACUAUGCCUCUUGUUUAAGACUUAAUCGUCUAAGAGGAAAUGGCUAAUCCAUCAAGUUCAUCUCACAUUGAAAGUUUUGCAACCAAUAGACUUCUUUUUUUUUUUUUGCGGGAACUGAUUAUCCCUAUUGGAAAACUAAAAUGACUUGGUUUUUACAAUCAAUUGAUUUAGAUGUAUGAGAUGCCAUUGAAGAUGACCUAACUUUUCCUUCAAAACUAGUUGAUGGAGUCAUGGUUCCAAAACCUAAGCAAGAAUGGGAUGAGCGUGAUUGAAGAAAUUUUCAAUUAAAUGCUAAAGUCGUUUAUACUUUGCAAUGCUCUAUGGACAGAAAUGAAUAUAAUAGAAUAUGUCAAUGCAAAUCGGUUAAAGAAAUUUGGAGAUUGCUUGAAAUAACUCAUAAAGGAACAAAUCAAGUUAAAGAGUCAAAAAUCAAUUUACUUGUUCAUAGAUAUGAAUUGUUUUUUAUGAAAGAUAAUGAAACUAUUGUUAAGAUGAUCACUAGGUUCACCAACAUUGUUAAUGGUCUUAAAGCCUUGGGAAAGACCUACAAGGAAUCCGAAAACGUGAUGAAGAUCUUGAGGUCACUUCCAUCAAAGUGGCAUACCAAGGUCACCGCAAUUUAAGAAGCAAAAGACUUGAUCAAGCUACCUUUGGAGGAGUUCAUAGGGUCAUUGAUGACAUAUGAAAUCAAUUUGGCAAAGAAGUAACAAAAAGGUGAAGACAAAAAGAAGAAGAACAUAACUCUCAAAGCUACAACUAAGGAAGAAGAAGUUGAAGAAGAAAAACAAAUUGAAGAAGAUGAAGAUUUAGCCCUCAUCACAAGAAAGUUCAACAAAUUCAUGAGGGGUGAAAGGUUUAGAAGAAGAAGGUUCACUUCUAGAAGAGACUUUUCUAAAAAGGAAUCUUCAUCUAAUGGUGACAAAAAGAGAUGGGAAGAGAAAAGAGACUUGGUGUGUUUCAAGUGCAAGAAACCGGGACACAUUAAAUAUGAUUGUCCUCUCUACAAAAGUGAAGUCAAGAGGAAAAAGAAUAAGGCAAUGAUGGCCACUUAGAGUGAAAGUGAAGAUGAAUCAUCCGAAGAAGAAAAUGAGAAAGAAGUGGCAAACAUGUGUUUCAUGGCAAUAGAUGAACUUGAUGAGGUAAAAUCUAACCUUAGUGAUUAAGAUAUACAUGAUGCAUUUGAAGAAUUGUAUGAGGAUUUUUAAAAACUUAGUUUGAAAAAUAUUUCUCUUAAAAAGAAAGUUCAACAACUUGACAAAGAACUUAGAGAAGUAAAAGAAAAAUUUUCAAAUGUUAAAGUUUCUAAAACUCAUCUUGAAAAAGAAAAUGAGAUUCUAAGAAAGAAAAAUGAAUAGUUGAACUCCUCUCUUUCAAUCUUUUCUUCUAGACAAAAAUCUUUUGAAAUGAUUCUAACUAGCUAAAAAUGUGUUUUUGACAAACAAGGGUUAAGAUUUAAAUCUUCAAAAAAUCAAAAGUAUUUUAAAAACUAUUUUGUAAAGGAAUCCACAAGUGCAAGUCCUUCCACUACUUGCAACUUUUGUGGAAGAGAAUGGCACAUUAGUAGUACGCCCUUUAAGAAAUGGUUCUCAAAAGAAUUUAAAUGCAAAAACUAAAAAAGAUUUGGAUUGAGAAAUCCAAGGUCACUAACCCUCAAGGACCCAAAAAGAUAUAGGUACCUAAAUCAACUUGAGUUUUAUGUUGUAAGGUUCAAAGAAUGAUAAGUGGUUCUUAGAUAAUGGUUGCUCAAGACACAUGACCGGAGAUGAAUCCAAGUUUGCUUUUCUUAAAAAGAAAAAUGGAGGAUAUGUUACCUUUGGAGACAAUGCAAAAGAAAGGAUGAUUGGUCAAGGCAACAUUGGUAAUGGCACAUCCUCUCUCAUUGAAAGUGUUUUAUUAGUAGAUGGUUUCAAACAUAACCUUUUAAGCAUUAGUCAAUUUUGCGACAAAGGUUUUUAAGUGAUUUUUUAAGCAUCUCAUUGCAUCAUCAAGGAUAUUCAAAAUGAUAAAACCAUUUUCAUGGGCCAUAGAUGUGAUAAUGUUUAUGCUAUAAAUAUUUCAAAAUAUGAUGGCCAUGAUAGAUGUUUUUCAAGCAUGCAUGAUCAAAGUUGGUUGUGCCAUAGGAGAUUGAGACAUGCUAACAUAGACCUCAUUUCCCAACUCAACAAAGAUGAACUUGUUAGAGGCCUUCCCAAAAUAAUUUUUUAAAAAGAUAAAGUUUGUGAAGCUUGUCAAGUGGGAAAGUAAAUCAAAAACUCUUUUAAAAACAAAAACUUCAUUUCCACAUCUAGGCCACUUGAGUUGUUGCAUAUGGAUUUAUUUGGUCCCUCUAGGACACCAAGUCUUAGAGGAAAUUCUUAUGCAUAUGCUAUUGUGGACGACUUCUCUAGAUACACAUGAGUCUUGUUUUUUAGUCAAAAGAAUAAAGUUUUUUAUGAGUUUUCAAAGUUUUGCAAUAAGAUUCAAAAUGAAAAAGGUUUUUCAAUUACUUAUAUAAGAAGUGAUCAUGGGAGAGAAUUCGAAAAUAUUGAUUUUGAAGAGUAUUGCAAUGAGCAUGGAAUUGACCACAAUUUUUUGGCUCUUAGAACUCCUCAACAAAAUGGGGUAGUUGAAAGGAAAAAUAGAACUCUUCAAAAAAUGACAAGAACCAUACUAAAUGAAAACAACUUACCAAAAUAUUUUUAGGCCAAAACGGUUAACACUUCUUGUUAUGUUUUAAAUAGAGUAUUAUUGAGGCUCAUACUUAAGAAAACUCCCUAUGAGCUUUGGAAAAACAAAAAACCCAACAUUAGUUAUUCCAAAGUCUUUGGAUGCAAUAUUUUAUAAUAAACACCAAAGACAAUCUUGGAAAAUUUGAUGCAAAAUUGGAUGUUGGAAUUUUCCUUGGUUACUCAACUUCAAGUAAAGCUUUUCGAGUUUUAACAAAAGAACCAUGGUUGUAGAGGAGUCCAUCCAUGUUAUUUUUUAUGAAUCUCCAAGAAAGAGAGAGGAUUGAUGAUGAUUUAGGUUUGAAGACCUCUAUAGGAAGAUUGCAAAUCGAAGAUAGAAGACAACAAGAAGAAAAUGGAGAGAAUCCAAAGAAAGAAGGAUCACCAUUGGCACUACCCCCUCAUCAACAAGCGCAAGGUGAAUCAAGUCAAGAGCUUCCUAAAGAAUGGAAGUUUGUCAUCAAUCACCCACAAGAUCAAAUUAUAGGCAAUCCAUCUAGUGGGGUAAGAACUAGAUCCUCUCUUAGAAAUAUUUGCAAUAAUCUAGCUUUUAUCUCUCAAAUUGAGCCUAAAAAUAUAAAUGAUGUUUUAGAUGAUGAAAAUUGGAUAAUUGCAAUGCAAGAAGAGUUAAAUCCAUUUGAAAGAAGUGGAGUAUGGGAAUUAGUACCAAGACCUUCAAAUCAAAGUGUUAUUGGAACUAGAUGGAUCUUUAGAAAUAAAAUGGAUGAAAAUAGCAUAAUUGUUAGAAAUAAAGCAAGAUUGGUAGCCCAAGGUUUUAAUCAAGAAGAAAUGAUAGAUUAUGAAGAAACCUUUGCCCCCGUAGCUAGGUUGGAAGCCAUUAGGAUGCUACUUGCCUUUGCAUGUUUUAAAGACUUUGUUUUAUAUCAAAUGGAUGUGAAAAGUGCUUUUUUAAAUGGUUUUAUAAAUGAAGAAGUAUAUGUUGAACAACCACCCGGUUUUCAAAGUUUCAACUUUCCUAACCAUGUUUUUAAACUUAAAAAGACACUUUAUGGUUUGAAACAAGCACCUAGAUCAUGGUAUGAAAAAUUGAGUAAAUUUCUUUUGAAAAAAAUGUUUUAAAAUGGGAAAAAUUGACACAACUCUUUUUAUAAAAACCAAAGAAAAUGAUAUGCUCUUAGUUCAAAUAUAUAUUGAUGAUAUCAUUUUUGGUGCUACUAAUGUCUCUCUUUAUGAAGAAUUUUCUAAGUGCAUGCAUAGUGAGUUUGAAAUGAGCAUGAUAGGAGAACUCAACUUCUUCCUUGGACUUCAAAUCAAGCAACUAAAGGAAUGAACCUUCAUCAAUCAAGCAAAGUAUAUAAGAGAUCUUCUCAAAAGGUUCAACAUGGAAGAAGCCAAAACAAUGAAGACUCUAAUGAGCUCAUCCAUUAAGCUUGAUAAGGAUGAGAAAGGUAAAUCCAUUGACUCUAUUAUGUAUAGAGGCAUGAUAGGUUCUUUGCUCUAUUUGACCACUAGUAGACCUUACAUUAUGUAUAGUGUGUGUUUGUGUACUAGAUUUCAAUCUUGUCUUAAAAAAUCUCACUUAAGUGUCGUGAAAAGAAUCCUCAAAUAUUUGAAAGGGACAAUGGACAUAGGCUUAUGGUAUCCUAAGAGUGAUAACUUUGAAUUAAUUGGUUUUUUGGAUGCUGAUUUUGUCAGUUGUAGGGUUGAAAAAUAAAACACUAGUGGCACUUUUCAUUUCUUAAGACACUUACUUGUCUCAUGGCAUAAUAAGAAGCAAAAUUUGGUAGCUUUGUCAACAGCAGAAGCUAAAUACAUAGCAACUGGUUUAUGUUGUGCACAAAUCCUUUGGAUGAAAUAAACACUUAGUGAUUUUGAUUUAUCUUUUGAGCAUAUUCCUAUUAAAUGUGAUAAUAGUAGUGCCAUAAGUAUAUCAAAAAAUCUCGUGCAACACUCUAGGACUAAGCAUAUAGAGAUUAGACAUAAUUUUCUUAGAUAUCAUACACAAAAGGAUGAUAUAACACUUGAAUUUGUAAGCAUAAAAGACCAACUUGCCGAUAUCUUUACAAAACCUCUAAGAACAUUUUGUUGAUAUUAGAGGACAAUUAGGAGUGAUUUCUUUAUGAUCUAAUGUGAUGAAUUCUUGAUGAAUAUACUUUUUGAUUGCAUGAAUUUCAUGUCAUAUAUGCAUCAUAUAGAAAUAUACUUAGAUAAUGGUCAAAUUUCGACCAAAAAUCAAAAUUCCCAUGGCAUUAGGCAUAAAAAUUUUGGAAUUUCAACUGAAAAUGGUAGGAGGAGGAUCACAAAAUGAGAAAGUAUGCAAAAAUUGAAAAAUCAAAACGUUGACCAAGCGGUCAAUCGGACUAGACCGAUCGACUAGUUUGUCGAGAUUUAGGAUUUUUAAGAGACUCCAACGCUUCAAUUUUUGCACCGUUCUCCUCUAUUUCUUCACGGUUUCUCUGAUUUUGUCUUUUAGAGACUAAUUUGAGUGCGUUUUGGAUCAAUUGAAGCAUUUUGGAUUGGAUUUUAGGAAGAUUGAAAGUUAAGGUUUCGGAUUUGGGUCGCCUUCUCUUCCUCUCGCGUGUCACAAUCAGCUUUAGCAUUGUUCUCUUUCCAUUUUCACACACCUAGGGUUUCAGUUGUGAGCAUCUCUCUCUCUUUACCAACCACUACUCCCUUGCUUCUUCCAUAUGGCUCCUAGGCGAGAGUCCGCUACUUCUAGGGCACAAGGCAAGCACCCAACUGAGUCGUCUCAGUCAAAGGCACGUCGAAAAGUGAGAUUUGACAUUGCCUUGUUCAGUUCCAUGGAGGACUACCAACUAUACAAGCAACACUUUGCUUAGAGACGAGUAGUUCCCAAGAGAAAUAUUAAUUUUCCUCAACUUCAGCAUUUCGAAUUUAAGGGUCUAUUUACUAGGAUGGUUGGUUGUCUAUUGUCACAAUUUCGGAGCCGGUUUUCCUGACCUUAGUGCGAGUUUUUUACUCGAGGGCGACUUAUGGCAUGGGUGGCAUGAUCAUUUCUACUGUUGGAGGAGUUGAGAUCUGUCUGGACCCAGAGAGCAUCUGCCAUAUUUUCGAUAUUGCUCUGGUUGGACUCAAAGUAUACAAGUCCAAAAUGUGGCCCAUUGUGCCAGGAUUUGAGCUUAGAGAGGUCAUUCAGAGGAUUUGUGAACUUCCAGACGCCCAGGAGAUGGGCAAACCAUUGCCACACAGUUUGACGGUCAUCAACAGGGUGCUACACCAUAUAUUGUGCUCUAUCUUUCUACCACGAAGUGGACAUUGAGAUGAGGUCUCUUAUUAUGAGGCAUUCCUUAUUGACUCCAUUCUAACGGAGAGACGAAUUCAUCUACUAUGUCAUCAUUCACUAAGCCUCCUCACAGUGACAUACCACCUCAUCAGGCACCUCUUGCUCCUGACCAUGCUCCAUUGAUGGAUUUAUUUACUCAUAUUAGCUCUCUAGGCACUCGCAUGAAGGAGUUUGUUGUAGUUAGUGAUACAUGGUUCUACUCCAUAGAGGAUCGCAUGGAUCAGUAUCAGACUGGCUUCACGUCACAGUUUGAGUAUCUCCAAUAGAGGAUUGAGCAUAUUGAGGAUCACUUGAGCAUGAGAAGAUGAUGGCUUUUCUAUGCUCUGUGUUUCCACCUCCACCUCGUCAACCUUGAUUUCUUAGAGACCCAUUGUUUUCAUUUUGUAAUGUUGCCAAAAGGGGGAGAUAUUUAGGAUCUAGGACUCUAUAGGAGACUUACAUGCAUAUCAUUUUCAUAUCAUUGUUUGGAUCGUACAUAUUGGAUAGUGAUACUUUUUACUUAUAUAUGAUAUGCCUAUAUGUUUCAUGUCUUACAUUGUUUCUUAUUGCAAAUUAUCUCUAACAUGUCUUGAUUAUCUUUUUUUUAACUUCAUAAAUUUUGAUUGUUAACCCAUGAUUGGUUUGAGGGGAAGAUUCUUCUUCUCCUAGAUAACCAAGGUUUGUCAUCAUAAAAAAAUUGGAGAUUGUUAGCCCAAGGGUUCUCCUAAUCAUGUUUUGAUGAUAACAAACCAUGCUUAAGUUACUAAUUGGUUUGAAUUAUAAAGAAUUUCAAGUGUUAAUUUGAAAAUUCAUCAAAGAACCUAAUGGAUGCAAGAUCAAGAUUUUUGGAAGACCUUUAAUCAUAAGAAACAUAUGUAAGAUGAAUGCAUGGGUGCACUUAAGAUUUGCAUAUCAUUUCAUGCAUAUUUGGAAAACACGGUUUAUGCUUUAAAGUUACAUUUCCAUCAAAAUUUGAGAUCCAUCAAAUGAACCUUAGGAAAAAUGUUUUAAAAUUGGCAUAUAAUUUUACCUAAAGACCUUGCCUAAGUGUUAGAAGCAAAAGGACAAAAAAAAUAUAGGUUUUCUGGUCAAAAAUGGUGAACCAGUCAAGGCAUUGUCUAAAUCAGCUCAAUCGGCCAAGGUACCGGUCGAUCGGUUUCCCUUUCCCUGUCGAGAUCUAGUCAAGAGGUACAAAAAUCACAAUCUCUGUCUCUUUCUCUCUUUGUCUAUCUUCCAGUAGUCUUUCCUUCCCGGUCGAGGGAUUUGCCUUCCCGAUUGAGGUCCGAUUGAGAGUAAUAGUCACUUGCCAAAUAUUAAAUGCUCCAACAGUUAGUGAACUGGUCGACCCCCACCUUGCCCAGUUGAGGUUACUUUUUGGUUUUCUUGGCUCCCGAUGUUAGAAACCUAUAAAUAGAGAGUUCCACUUCAUUUAUGAGCAAGAGAACACUUGCAUUUAUUUGUUUACCUACUUGUUCUUGCCUUAAAAGCUCUCAUUUCUUUUCUUGGUGCAUUAAAUCUCCAUUUUGAUAUCCUUUAGUGCACCUUUGUGAUUCAUCUUAGCCUUGAGUUGUAUUUGAGCCCUUUUUUUAGCUAGGUUGAGAGUUUCAUACUUGUUAAUUGAGUGUUAAAGCCUUCAAGUGAGUUGAAACUUGUAGAGAUUAUGUGAGAGUCGAUUGGAGCCGAAAUCCAAGUGUAAAGGUGAUUAGAAGCUUGGUUGAAGCUUCAAGUUAGUGGAAUCCUCACUCAAUUAGGAGCUUGAGGAGAGUGGACGUAGCCAAGGAAGUGUCGAACCACUAUAAAAUUUGAGUUUGAUUUCUCUAACAUUGUCUCUUUAUAUUUGUUUAUCUUGUGCUUAAAUUUAUUGUGUUUAAAAAGAAUUUUUAAAUACCCAAUUCACCCCCCUCUUGGGUGUUUUUCUCUUUUAAAAUUAGCCUUUAUUUUCUCACAAACUAUUGUAGUAUAGUGGUUUUUAGGUGUCAUCCAUUAGGAUGAAUUGUUCUCGGUAAUUAAGGCGUGAAUGAGAGGAGAAUUAAUGAUUGUGAUUAAGUAAAAUUGAUUUGAAAAUUCAUGGUGAAAAAUCAAUUUAACAAUGGUUUCUAAUUGAGAAAAACAAUGAAAUGUGAAAUAAAAUAAAAUUAAUAGGAAAUGAAAUUCUCGAAGUUAGAAUUUUCUAAAAAACAAAUUCCAUGGUGAAUGGAUGUUGAGAUCUAAUUUUCAUCAAGUUAGAUUGAAAACCGAAAUUUUCAUAUAAACUGAUUUUUUAUUUAGUUUUAGGUCUAGAUUUAAUUUCCCUUAAAAUUAGGUUAUUUAAUCCAAGAAAUCAAUUCAAAUCAUAUAUUCAAUUCAUCUUAAAUUAUCUUCCAAUUAUUCACACAAUGCAACUAUUCAAUCUCAUCAAAUCUAGCUUUUAAGAAUUUAAUGAAUCUACCUAGUUUGCAUUGUAAUAGUCAUCCAUGACAAUUUGAAGAGAAAAAUAAUUCAAUUAAUCAAUCACUUGGAUCAAAUUACCUUUGCAAUUAAAGUUCAUUUCUCUAAUUCACCACAGAUUUUGUCUCUAGAUCCUCCUUUCUCAAAGAAAAAUGAGAUUUAGCCACACAUGAUUGGAGAUUUGGUCUCAUAAGGCAUGUUUAGCUAGUGAUAAAAUGAGAGAAAAUAAAGAAAAAUAGAGAAUUCGAUUAAGAAAGAAAAUCUAAAAAAUUCUACAAUUAGAAAUGUCCAAAAAGCUUUUUCAUGAGAAAAUCAAGUUUCUAUUUAUAGGCCAAGGUCAAGUGGACACUUGACAUCAUCUAAGAGGUCUUCCGGAAGCUUCUUCAUCAAGAAAUCUGGAGUUUAAUAAUAAAAUGGUCAUUUCACAAGAGCUCAAACAAUUUCGCAUGAUUAUGUGAAAUAAAAAAUGCAACAACAGCAAUUUACAUCUUCUUGGAGCAUUUCGCAUGACUGUGUGAAAUUUUCACAUGAUCAUGUGGAAUCGACUUGACAACUCUCAUUUAGCCUACAACAUAAUUCCACCUUUUGGUCCAUUUUUCAUAGUCAUGCGAAAUGGAAAUAUUUGAUUUUUAAGUUUUCUUUUGUCAUUUCUUUCAUUUCCUUCUCUUGAUUCCACUUCAACUACCUCCGAAUCCUGGUCCAAACCAAUUGCAUUACUUCUUUCAUUAUGCAUUUGGAUCAUCAUCAACAUUAUUUGUUCUCUUCAAUUUGAUUCAUCUCUUUUGUCACCAAUUUAUCAAAAUCAUACCUUGAAAUGACUCCAAAACUUCAUAAAACUUGUUAGUAACUCUUGCAAGGGCAACAACAUAUUAAUUAAGUGUUUUAGGCAUAGUUACUACUCAAAAGAUGCGAAACUCAUGAUAAUUAUUAUAUAAAAUAUGCUCUUUUUGAGUAGUAAUCAACUUUCUUGCAUAAGCAGACCUUUUAGGGUGGAGUACUAAAGACCAAUAUGCUUGUCCUUGUUGUAAUAAAGAAACUUGCUCUUAUUGAUUGCACCAUGGGAGAAAAUUUUGCUACAUGAGUUAUCAUCAAUUUCUUCCCACCAAUCAUAGAUUUAGACGUGACAAGAGGCCUCUUAAUGGCAAGGAGGAACUGACACUCACACUUAUACAAUUAUCGGGCAUUGAUGUGUUGCAACAAUUAGAAUAACUUACACCAAUUAUGUUGGGGAAGUCACAAAAGGCAAACAUGAAAACUAAAAGGAAAAAAGAAAAAUGUUACAUAUCACCACAACUGGAAAGAAAAAAGUAUUUACUUUCAUUUGCCAUAUUGGAAAGCACUUAUUUUACAUCAUAAUAAUUUAGACAUAAUGCAUAUUGAGAAAAAUGUGUGACAAUAUAAUUGAGACAUUGUUCAGUAUUGACGAAGAAACAAGGACAACCUAAAUAGUCAUCUCGAUUUACAAGCUCUAACUAUUAGAAAUGAGAUUCACCCAAUAGAAAGCAGGACCAAAUUUAUUUUGCUUGCAACAUGCUACUCACUCACCCCAAAUGAGAUUAAGGAAUUUUGCAAGUUUUUGAAAUCAAUAAAGGUCCCCAAUGGCUAUUCUUUCAAUAUCUCUCGUUAUGUGCAACUCAAUGAAAGGAAGAUAUAUGAGCUCAAAUUGUAUGAUUGUCAUGUCCUAAUGCAACAACUUCUCUCACUUGUAGUUCGUGGAGUUCUACAUAAGAAUGUUUGUGGAGUUAUCAUAGAAUUGCGUAAUUUUUUCAAGCAAUUGUGCUCAAAGGUGUUAGAAACAAAUCACUUACACCAACUUGAGAACAAUAUUAUUGUCAUACUAUGUAAAAUGGAGCAAAUAUUUCUUCCAUCAUUCUUUGAUAUUAUGGUGCAUUUACUUGUGCAUCUAGUAAGGCAAAGGUUGCAAGACUUGUGCAAUAUUGUUGGAUGUACCUAAUUGAACGAUAUUGUUAUAAUUUCAUAUGAAUCAUUUAAUUUUAUUUUAUAUUAUGUUCAGUUCAUUAACAUGUACAUUGGUCUACAUAUGGAUGAUGAUAGGUACCUAAGCACUUUAAAGUCAUAUGUGCGUAAUAGAACUUUUCUAGAAGGUUCUAUUGUAGAAAGGUACCUUGCAAAAGAAUGUACAACAUUUUAUUCUAGGUACUUGAAUGAUGUGGAAAUAAAGUAUAAUCACAAUGAUAGAAACUUUGUUGGUUUCAACACUAGAGGAGAUGAAAGGGGUUAUCUUUAAACAUAUUGGACAUGCAUUGGGAAAGCCCAUAUUUCAUUAACUUAGUUCAAAAGAGUGGUCACAAGCACAUUUAUAUGUGUUGACAAAUUGCGAAGAUGUCAUACCAUUCAUUGAGUAAAAAAUUUAUUUGAAUUUUAAUUAAAGCUCUAGUUUAUAUCCUUAAUCAAUGUUUUUUAAAUUCACAAGGAGCACAAGCAAACCAUCAAGGCUAGACCACAUAUACGUGUUUGAGACGUAGAUUUAAUUCAUAACAAGGAAUUUAUCAAGUGGUUUGAAAGACAUGUAAGUAUAUUCCUUAUUAUAAGGGAUUUAUUUCACAUUAUGUUUAUAUUGAAUCCAAACCUAUUAUUGAAUUGUAGGUUGAACAAUUACAUAAUGAAGGUCAUAUAUCUGAACACCUUCUCACAUUAUCAUGUGUUCCAAAUUCAUUAGUUACAUGCUUCAAAUGAUAUAUUGUCAAUGGAUUUAGAUCCCACAUUAAAGAACGUGAUAAAAAAGUUUUUAAAAAAAGACUCAGAAUAAUGGAAUUGUUGUAGUUGCAAAAACGUCAAGCUUUACAAGUGCAUGUGAUAUGAGUCCAAUUAUUAGUGAUGCUCUCUACUAUGGUGUUCUAACUAAAGUUGUUGAGUUACAUUAUCUUGGUGAAAAUAAGGUUGUUUUAUUCGAGUUUGAUUGGUGGGAUGUUACAAAUAUUGGAAAAUUGAUAAAAGAUGAUGAGUACAAUUACACAUUUGUUAACUUUGCAUGAAUUCUAACCACGAACGAACGAUUUGUACUUGCAUCUCCAGCAAAGUAAGUGUUCUAUGUGAAGAAUGCGAAUGAAUCAGAUUGGCAUACUAUCAUGGAGAUGCAACCUCAAGACCUCUAUAAGAUGAACGGGAUAGGAUCCAAUGGUGAUUUUGAACCAUUUCAACAAAGUGAACUACAUGAUCACUAAUAUAUCUCAGAUUUAGUUGAUGAAGAUAUAAUCAAGUGGAACAAAAGUGAUGUUUUAGGACUAAUCAUCCUAAAAAAUAUUGUAGUUUCUUAAAAAAAAAAUGAAAAUGAAGAAGAUAAUUGAACCUUUGUCAUACUUUAAAAAGCAACUAUGCAUUGUUCAUUUUGUAUGUUUUGGUUUUCUUCAUUUAAUUUCCUGAUUUUUGUGAUUCAAUGUCAUAUUAUUGAUCUUGAAAUAUUUUUCUAAUUUUUCAUUCUACGAUGGUUUCAACAAGGAUGACAUCAAGUCAAAAAAGGAAAUGUGGUCCCACACACAAUAUUGCAUUACAGGGAUUAAGGUCAGGGAAGAAGGUAAAAGUUGCAUUUAAUGAGUACAAUCAAUUGGUUAAACAGAAAAAUGGAAAACACUUAUCGAGCUACAUAGGGACACUUGUAUCUAACCAACACAAUGUACCUCUCCAAGCUAGUGAUUGGAAAAAUGUUCCAAAUGAUGCAAAAGAGAAAGUAUGGCCUUUGUUUUGGUAUGUUGUAUUUCUCACUAUAUGAUGUCAUUUCACUGUUAUUCUAUUUUGUGACUAACGUUUGAAUCAUAUGUAAGAAAAAUUUGAAGUAGAUAAAGACUGAAAAGAUUACAUGUUGGGUAUAGCCUCAAAUAAAUAUAGAAGCUAUAAAAAUAUGAUGAAUGCAAAAUACUAUGACCCUUGGCAUAAGGAUGCAUGAGGAGAGGUUAAUACAUAAAUCACCAUUUGUCUCUGAUGUUGAUUGGAAGUGGCUUGUCUCUGAUGCAUAAACCAAAUCCCCCACUGAAUGUUUGAUAUUUGAUAGCAGGAAAAACACACCCGCAGCUAUACACCUCCAUCAUUCAGAUAAUUAUAGUGGGGGAGAUGAUUCAUGGUUGCCCUUAUACCCUUUAUUUGCACCAUCUAUUGAGAUUCUUUAUCAUGGCCAGGUUUUACUGCAGCAAUAAGAUAUGGUGGCAACAAUUUUAUCUAUAGGUGCGGUUCCAGACCGCCUCCAUAGGUGCGGUUCCUGACUGCCUCCAUAGGUGCCUCUUCUUGUAAUGUUUGUUCUGGGAAUUACACUUGAAAGCCUUAUCGUGAUAAGGGAUUACAAACACUAGUUCAGAGGACAGCCAUGUUAAACUUCCACUAUGUUUGUGUCACAUUAUCAGCAGCCUAGUGUUUAUUGGUCAUGCUAUCUGCAACUAAUAUAACCCGGUGAACUUCAAUCUAAAUUCUGAAAGUACUCAUGUGACAGAUGGUGCCUUUCAGCAGAUAUCAUCAAUUUAAAAGUAGUGUGUGUGCCUAUAGGUGGGAAGGCCUUGGCAAAUGUUCAGUAUUCCGGUAAUUCAAGAAGGAUAUAUCUAAAAUAGAUUUUCUUCUUGCCCAUUUCAAUAGUUAAAAUUUGAGAAGAUUGUGUCCACAUCACACAAAUAUUAUUGGUCCUUCUGUUGCAAUUUACCUCUGAACAUGUCUUCCAAUUCCCACGGUCCUGUUACUCCAGGAAAACUAUUUCGGUCAUAUUGAAAAAAAAAAUAUUAAAGAAGGUACACAUGCUUUUAAGUGGACUGGGGCAUUCAUAUCAGGUGGUCUGUAUCCACAUAUGCCACUUCGUGAAAGGUGGAACAGCCUAAUCACUAGGCUAUUUAGUGUGGCCCAGCCACGUUAAUCAAGCACAAGUCUUCAUACUUAAAGUCAAAUGGUGUCUUUAGUCUCAUUACACAUCGCUAUUUGAAGAUUAACUCAUCACUAGUGUAAUGCGAUUAAGACAGUCCUAACUCAAUAUUUGUUCUAGUUUUGGAUGCAAAUGCUUGCUGGUUUCAUCAUUGGAUGGGAUAAAGGUGCAAUCAGGACUAUGAAUACGUGCAGUAAUACUUCAUUCUCUUUUUUCUCAAUGAGACUUCUUGGCACAAUUUUGCUGCUCAGCAACCUACCUUUCCAUGGAAAAUCAGUUGUGACUGAUAGUAAUGGAUAUAUUCUAGAAAGCUAAACAUAGAUAGCAUUCAAUAUUAUCGAUAUAACAUUAACAGCGUAUGUCUCAAUGCUCAUCAGCUACAAGCAAUGGACAAACACUUUGAGUAACUCACAGCAGUCAAAAUUCCUAAACAGGACAGACGUGACAGAUCUAUAUAUAGAACACUGCAUAUGAGUCACAGGAAAAGAUAAUACGGGUACAUAGAAGCUCUUAUUUUACAUAUUACUCAUACUGAUCAAAGUCGCUCAGUUGGGAUGGAUGGGAGAAGGAGGUUUGAGGGGUGGCUUGUGCGGGGAAGUUGGCAGCUUCUUUCCGGGAGCUGGUUGCUUCUUUGCUGGAGUUGAAGGAGGCUUAAUCUUCCGAGGUGGCUUGUAUGAGUCUUCAGCAUUCUCAGCAGGAGGGUGACCAGGGUUGUGACCAUAAUGUGGUGGCUUCUCUCCCUUAGGUGGUUUGCCAACUGGGGUUGGUGGCUUGUUUUCUGGGAGUGGCUUCUCUCCCUUGGGUGGUUUGCCAACUGGGGUUGGUGGCUUGUGUUCUGGGAGUGGCUUCUCCCCCUUGGGAGGUUUUUCGAAUGGGGUGGGUUUGUGUCCUGGUGGUGGCUUCUCUCCCUUGGGAGGUUUACCAAUUGGGGUCGGUGGCUUGUGUUCUGGGAGGGGCUUCUCUCCCUGGGGAGGUUUAGUGGGUGGCUUGUGUUCUGGAGGUGGCUUCUCCACCGGAGGCUUAUGCUCUGGUGGUGGCUUCUCGAAGGGGGGAUGCUCAGGGUAAUCACCAAGUGAGGGGGUGGUGAGAACCACCAUGCCAAGCAACAACACUAGCAAGUAUGUAGUAGACAUCUUUGGGUUUGGACUCAGACAGUGCAAAACUACGAGAAAUCGCUAGCCCUUUAUAGCGGCUCGGACCUAAUACUGACAUAAUAUAAAAUAAAUAUUAUAUUUUAUCAAGAGAGAACAGAGUGUAAUUUUAUCAUUAAUACCGAUCGAGGCCAAAGAAAGAAGACCCAUAAUCCAUUUCCCACAAGCAUACACAAUGCAGCUGUAAUUUUAUCAUUUACUUUUAUCCCUUGGACCACUGCAUUUUUGUUGAGAGACACAAUAACACAUUUUUAUCUGUCAUUCAACAUUUACAGUAAAGAGAGGGCACAAAACGCAAUUAGAUAAAUUAUGUUUUGCCUGCUAAAAAGAGGCAAAUAACUUUAUUUGCAACAUAAUUAUUUUGGUUUCUAGUGACCCCGGGGCCUUUCGGUUGGUUUGGGAUCGGAAAAUGAACAUCAUAGGGGGGGUUGUGCCCUUAUGGGCAUAUAUAUCUGAUAGCUUCAACUGGCCUUGUUCCUAGAAAGAAAUUGCCAAAGAUAUAAACUUAUUCCAGGCUGAAAGUAGAUGAGAGUCAUAAUGAACAUCAACCUUUGUUCAGUUUGAUUCAAUGCCCCCAUAGUGUUCAUUUCACAGAUCUGAAUGAUUAUAUCCGUUGAAUACAUAAAUUAAUGAAGACAAAUAUGAAACCCAAGAUACAUCUCUGCAUAACAACCCCAACCCUGGUUGCUAUGUUUCCCUUCUUCUAUUCACAUGAGGAUACUGGUUAUAAUUGUCAAACUUGCAACAAGCCCUUUGACACCUAACGUCAAUGGACGAAUUAAAAGUCUCCUUCAAACGUCUAUUUCACAGCAUGAAGCUUAUAAAGGAUGCUGACAACCUUCAGAGUUAGCGACAAAAGAUAAUUAUCAAGGAGAGAUAGUUCCAUGAGAAUUCCAAGGAGUCUGAAUCAAAGACAAAUUGCUCACUCAAGGGUUCUUAUUUUCUUUUAGGUACAAAUCUCUUGAGUGUUGUUAAAGAAACACGUCACUGUCAUUUUGAUUUGCAUUUAACAUUUCACUUUUGUUCUGGAAGGUUUGUUCCGGAAACAUAUCAAAUGAGCAUCAUUUUCUUCUUCGGUGACACAUGGUCGCGAGUACGUGGGUCCAUUUUCAUGCCACUUAGUUGAAAAGUUGGAAAGAAAAAACAUGCCAACAAGAAGAUAGUGAGAGAAGGGGCACUUCAAGCCUUUAACAUGAACAAACAGUAAAUAAAAGAUGUUUCUCCACUCAUAAAAGUGUGUUAGAUAGCAAUAUAACGAAUCACAUCCAAAAUCUUUACUAGGCUCAAACAUAAAGAAGACUCAUUUUUAAGAAAAGAUAAAAAUGGCAUUGUCUGAUAGUAUCCAAUACACGAGAUGGCACUUAAUUUGUACAAGAUCUGUCAAUGCUGACGCACAUUUUCUGAUUAAAAAAAAACUGAUCAGUCAAAAGCAAUGAAGAGAAGUGAUGACAAUGAAUGAUGCUUCCAAUAUUUUCACCCCUUAUAGUGUUCUUCAUGAUUCAGAUAUAUAAUUGGAAAUAGAACAACCCUAUGCCAUACAUUCGUCUAAGUAUGGUGUCUAAUUUUUUGUGUCAGCGGUUGCGAAUGGAGCGUGCAAAAGUCCAAAUUGGCGUCUCUCCAUUUCCACAUAGGAAGGUGACCUUUAUUGACAAAUACCCAAUAUUUGUAGACAUUCCUUAAAUAUCAUAACUUCUUGUUGAUUUGAAAAUCAUUUUUCAACUACCAUGUUUUAAUAAAUAUUUUUUAAAAUGUAUUUUUAUCAAAGUCCACCAUGAUGGAUAAUAUUCACCAUGCAAUAAUUAAUAAAGUACAAACUAAGCGAAAUGAAAAGCAUUUUCUUUGCUUUGAGUUGAUUUUGGUUGCAUUGAGUUGAUUUUGGUUUCAUGGUUUUUUCAACUCUUAUUUUGAUUGGAAGAUGUCAAGAAAAGAAAACAUAAAGAAAAAUUAAAAGGGAAAAAAGAAGAAAAAUAAAAAAAAAUAGAUUUAAAAGUUAAUAAAUUAUUUUUUAUAUUUAUUUUAAUUCAUUUCACUUAUUUUUCUUUUACUAUAUAAAAUUUAAAUAAUUUAAAUUUUAUAAUUAAUUUAAUUACAUUUCAUUUUCUUCUAUAUUUAAAUAUUGGAAAAAUAUUUUACUUAAUAUUUUUUUCUUUAAUUUCUUUGGCAUUUUGGGAACCAAACUUAGCCUUUAAAAUAAAAAACAAAAAAAAAAUGAAAAUAAGGAGGGAAAAGUGAGAAAAGAUAAAAACAAUAUGUAAAGGAUUUGAAAAGUAUUAGUUUGUAAUUACUAUUUGGAUUUCAAUAGUAUUUUAUUUGUCUUUCUAUAUUUCAUGUAAGAGAGAAUUUAAGAUAUUCCCCAAGGCAAAGCAUUAGUUACCUGCAAUCAGUGGUGAUAAGGCUCCAAGCCAAUUUUGGGCCCCAUAUCUUAAGACAGUACAAUUUCCAUUUCAACAUUUCUGAUUUCUCAGAUGUUUCACAUACCACAGAAGAACAUUGUUUGUGAAAAUAUGCAUUUAUGUUGGAUUUUGUAUGCUGUGGGGACUGGGGCAAGGAUCAUAUGGAAGAGUGGUUGACUUUUUCUGUACUUUAACGGUUGAAAUAGGAUAAGCACGGGCAUUUGUGAGGCUUAAUUGAUUUUGAAGCCUGAAAUUGCGUUUCUGUCAUUUUGUCAAAAAAAUGGCAGAUUCCAUACUCAUAUGUUUGGCCUGUGGCCAUGUACAGAUGCCAUUUAGUGACCAGUUUGUAACUGUCAAUCGUUGCGUUUUGACUCUGCCUCAACAACAUCUGCCAUUGACGGGUUUUCAUACUUGCAAAUCAAAUAGUCUUUCGUCCCAUCAGGAAUUUCGGUUUAAAUAUUAUUAAGCAUACGUUUGGCUGACAAUCAUUAUCCAGUUCAUGAUUUGGUUUCUUACCCUUAAUCAAUGGUUUCUAAGUGAAUAUAUGUAGAAGGAAAUCCGAAGUGUAGACAGUAGUAUCGAUAACUCUCAAUAUUCUCUAUAUAAUAGAAUAAACAGCGUCAUAGUGAUCGUCGCCUACAAGCAAGGUACAAAUACCAAAACGAGUGACUCACAUAGACAUCUCCCAACAAGAUGUAGUAGUGACUGACACAUGGACACAAUUAACUCGUAGAAAAGGAUAAGACCAUUGCACAGCAGCUCUUAUUUUACAUACUACUUAUGCUAACCAAAGUCAAUUAGUUGGGAUGGGUGGGAGAUGGAGGUUUGUGCGGUGGCUUGUGGGGCGGAGUUGAUGGCUUCUUUCCAGGAGCUUCUGGCUUUUUCAUCGGAGCUGAAGGAGGCUCAAUCUUAUGAGGCGGCUUGUAUGAGUCUUCUUUACUCUCGACAGGAGGGUGGCCAGGGUUGUGAUCAUAAUGUGGUGGCUUCUCUCCCUUAGGUGGCUUGCCAACUGGGGUUGGUGGCUUGUGUUCAGGAAGUGGUUUCUCUCCCAUGGGAGGUUUAGCAAUUGGGGUUGGUGGCUUGUGUUCUGGGAGUGGCUUCUCUCCCUUGGGAGGUUUAGUAGGUGACUUGUGUUCUGGAGGUGGCUUCUCCACCGGAGGCUUGUGCUCCGGUGGUGGCUUCUUGGUUGGAGGGGGCUUGGGGUAAUCAGCAAGAGAUGGGGUGGUGAGAACCACCAGUCCAAGGAACAACACUAGCAAGUAUGUGGGAGACAUUUUUGAGUUUGGGCUGAUCAGAUGAUGCAAAACUAAAGCAUUACGUGACCUUUUAUAGCAUGUAGCUCCCAAUACCCACUAAGUAUUGUGGGGUCCAUUUGUGCCCUACGGGGUUGAAAACUUAGACAAUUGGGCAAGGACCCACCUGACUAUGGAGGACUAGUGAGGUGUGAUCAUAGCUUUAGGAUUUUUCUUCCUCUGCAGCCGUCGUGCCGUUGGCAUGAUUUUCUUAAUCUUAAAUAAAGGCAUAGUUAUAGAGUUGUUUAAUCUCUAAAUGGGAUUUUAUAUAUAUCUUCAGAUAGCCAUUAAUAUAUUUGAUGAAGAAAGAAAGACAAGUGCAUACAACAUGUAUACGACUAGCUUUCAUGGAGUUCAUUUAUGAUCAGUUUUCCUGUACAUGUAAACCAGGAUCAUAUAUAUGUUUCUGUUCCACAACUAUUUUGGAAUCUUGUUUAUCAGUUUUUAUCAUUAUAAUGUCACAUAGGCUGCCAACUUGGGCGCUAAAAGAACCAGUUGGGCUAGUUCGUUUCAGAAUUUCAAUGUGGAUUCAGGAAUUGUUUUGUAAGAUAUGCGAAAUAGUAGAGGGAUGAAUAGUGUUUCAUUAAUAAAAGUGUCCUGUAAAUUAGAAGGUGUCAUAGAAACUAUAAUCAAUAAAUAACUUUUUUUCCCCACGGGUGGUGUUUCUUGUGGGGAUCAGUGACUGGUUUAGGUUCACCCAAAAUGAGUUCAGACUAAAAUUGGUUUGAGUCAAUGCCGUGUCUCUUUUUUCCAGAAAUCAACUAUUUUAUGCAUUGAAUAAAUCAUACAAAGAAAAUAUGAACGCCCGCAAAACCUAAACCCUGGUUGCUAACUUUCUAUGUUUCAGUUCUAUUCACGCAAGAAUAUUAGUUUAAGUUUGGGAAAAAUGGCAACUUACCUAGUGAUUACUUGGUUUUGGUUUGCGACUAUUUACGCAACCAACCAUGAGUUUGACUUUAACGUCAUGGGUUGAAGCCUCCUACAGGAAGGGAGAAAGCUCCACAGCUAGCUCCAAAAGAGAAUUAUCACAUUGAUAGCUCCAGAGAUUCCCAAGGGGACUGAAUCAAAGACAAGUUCCUCACUUUUUCUUCUUUUGAGGCCAAAUAUGAACCAAGGAUCACACAACCUCAUUCAACUUCAUAAGUUUGAUUUCAUGCAGUUGAACACUGGGUGAAGGCCAUGACAAGAAUUGAUUCAAAAAUUCUAUCACUCUUUUAAGUAAUGGAAGAUUAUUAUCUCUGAUUGGCAUCACAACAGCACAUGCUCCUAGAUCUUUCUAGACACUCCAUGCAAUGAAAGCACAAUGGAUCUUGUAACGAUAGAAACUAAGCCAUGCUACAGUACUAGAUGAUGAGGUAAAACUAGUAGACACGGGUGGCAGCCUAUAUGGGAGGGACACAAGUCUAAUUGAUUUGCAUUUCAGCAUUAUAGAUAGGUAUGUUUUGGAAGAUUUGUUCUGGAAAUACCGCACCAAGUAGGAUUCUUUUUCUCUUUAGUGGGUCCACUUGCAUGCCAAUUAACGAGUUGAAAAGUAUGAGCACCUACCUCGUGCUCGUGGAACCGAAGGUCAGUGAAGUGGGGCUCCUUUUGGCCUCGUGUAAACUUGAUUCAGAAGUGAAGUUAAUAGUCUUCCAUUCAGAUGGAUACAUGGGAAUUUUUCUCUUUUAUUUAUUUAUUUAUUUUUUUUUUGUGUGUGUAUGUCAAAGGAUAAUGAAUGAAGCGCGUUAGCUUGUUUUCUGACUGGAACCGCAGAUGUCCAAAUUGGAGUUCCUUCAUUUCUUACUUAGGAUUGUUACAUGUAUAAACAAGGUAUAAGAAAUAUGCCAACGUGUCUUGAGGAGUUAUUGAUUAGAAAUAACAAGUCACCCGACUGUAGAGUUCCAAGAUUUGAAUCUUCAGACCCUAUAGCAGCCUCUGGGGUACGUGGCAUCCUAUAGCAUAUUAAUGAAGGCUUUUUCGAUUUAGACUUCACAAUACCAAUUAAUAUGUAUGCACAAAAUGGAGAUGACCCCAAAAAAAACAGAAUCGCCAUAGUUUAUGAGGUUAAGGUGAUUCUCCACUUAAUAUCUACAUUAGCUAAUUAUGUAAAUCAAAUGAACUUCUAUUUUUCCUUUUUUUUUUUGGUUUAUGUCAAAUAGUAGCCCAUAAUUAACCCAACCAUUAGCCUGUUUGAAUUGAUUUCACAUGCACAAUGUUGUAGUAGUUCAUAUUUUGAAUUUUAUUUUUACAAAGGUAGUUAAGGAAAAUGAAGUAUAAUAAUUAUAAAAGCAGACUAUAUACACUACAAUAAUUGUUAGAAUGGUAUCUCAAAUUCUAAUUUAAAAUAUUAUUUUUUGUAAAAGAAAUAUUAUAUAGAAUAUUUCCUAAUUUUAUAAAUGAUUAUAAUUAGAUCUUUAUAAAAUAAGGAAAGUUGGUAAGAAUAUCUUUAUAAAUAUUUUAGGUCAUGAGAGAAAGAAAUGGGAUAAAAAUGUGAUGAAGAGGUGAAAUAAGAGAGUUGAUUAGGAUAUAGAUGUGAAGAAGAAAGGGAUUCAAUAUAUAUAUAUCUUUCAAUUACCACAUUAAAACCCUGUGAACCUUUUAUAUGGUUUACUUUAUUUUUAUAUUCCUCCUUUAAUAUAUUUACAUUAAUGCUUCCAUUGGCACAACAAUAACGAAUUACAAAUACAAGCAACAAGUCCCAUGUUUUAUUACCAAAAGCAGGUAAAAUCCACCUAAUAUAUUACAAUAUAUUCAUCCAAUAUUUUAGACCAAUUCUUCACCAUAAAUAUCAUAAUGUGGCUUUUGUUCUUUCUUAAAUUUAAAUUGAAUUGUCUUAUAUCAAUUUGUUUGUGAUUUUUUCAUUAACUUCACUUUCAUUUGGUUAUCUUUGGUUUUUGAAAAGUAUUAAGGAAUUAAUUAACAAAAUAAUGUUAAGAAAAAUAAUUUUCUCUCUUUUGAUUUUGAUUUUGUAGUAGAAAAAUAUAAUUAAAAUUAUUUAAAAAGUAUGUAAUUUUAAAUUAUUUAAUAUUUAGAUAAAAAAAAUAAGUCUAAUGAGUUUAAAAUAACAUAUAAAAAUAAUUUAUUUAUUUUAAAUUUAUUUUUUAUUUUCCAUUAUGUUCUCUUUCUCUUUUACUUUUUCAUAUUUUUUCUUACGAAGAAUCAAACACAACCUCAUAUUAUAUGUCAAGUGUUUGUCUAUAUUUGAGCAAUGUUAGAUACGGCCAUGGAUUCAUCAAACUAAACUGAUUUUAAUAGAUACUUCACAAAUUGAUUUAUACACUAAAUCAUUGGAUAGCAAUGAUGCAUUGGAAUUAAACGUAGGAUGAAGCUCGAAGAACACUGUUUGUGUAACAACAUAUUUAUGAAAUUAUGCAAAGGAUGAGCUUCGGGGUAGUAGUACAAGGUCAUUAAUGGAGAGCCGUGUUAAACCUUGAUUGUGAUUGGAUUCCGUUAUCAGCAACAGCAACCUUGUUUGUAACCUUGAAAGUCAUUCUGUCCACAUCGAAACUCCAAUUUGACGUUUGUAAUUACCAUUCCUGGAGUGUUCCUUGAUUGAAAUUUAAAUAAUAAUUGCGGCCCACAAGGAAUAUUUUCGAUUCUGUGGGAAUUUGACAAGGUUUGUUAGAGAAGACUGGUGACAUGUUGACUUCAAUGGUUCAAAUAGGAGACGUAUGUGGAUUUGGGGGGUUUAAUUGAAACUGAGUCCCUAUGGCUUUUUAAUAUUUGCAUUGAGCAGUCUCCAUGUGACUUCCUAAUUCCCACCAACCCUCCUGUCCAUGCUGUGAAACUAAAUUGUAAUUUAUCAGCCUUUGUCAAUGGUUUCUAAAUUAAAGAUAUAGACCAUGCAUGUACUUUAAUAAAAGCAAAUCUAAAGUGUAGAUAGCAGCAAUGGUGACACCCAAUAUUCUCCAUAAAAUAGAAUUAGAAUAAGCAGUGUUACAUUGUUCAUGAUCACCUACAAGCAUACAAGAACUUCCAUGAAUAACUCAUAGCAAUUGCCAACAGGGCGUCGUAGAGACUCAUACAUAGAACACUAUCCACCCAGAGGAAAGGACAAGACCAGUGCGCUGCAGCUCUUAUUUUUCACAUGUAUACCACCACUCGUAAUAACCAAAUUCACUCAGUUGGGAUAGGUGGGAGAUGGUGGUUUGUGGGGUGGCUUGUGGGGAGGAGUUGGAGGAGGCUUUAUUUUCUGAGGCGGCUUGUAUGAGUGUGCAGGAGGAUGCCCGGGAGUGUGACCAUAAUGUGGUGGCUUCUCUCCCGUAGGUGGUUUGCCAAAUGGGCUUGGUGGCUUCUCUCCCUUAGGAGGUUUACCAAUUGGGGUUGGUGGCUUGUGUUCUGGGAGUGGUUUCUCUCCCUUGGUAGGUUUGCCAAUUGGGGUUGGCGGCUUAUGUUCUGGGAGUGGCUUCUCUCCCUUGGGAGGUUUGCUAAUUGGGGUUGGCGGCUUAUGUUCUGGGGGCGGCUUCUCUCCCUUGGGAGGUUUGCCAAUUGGAGUUGGCGGCUUAUGUUCUGGGAGUGGCUUUUCUCCCUUGGGAGGCUUGCCAAUUGGGGUUGGCGGCUUAUGUUCUGGGGGUGGCUUCUCUCCUUUAGGAGGUUUGCCAAUUGGAGUCGGCGGCUUAUGUUCUGGAAGUGGCUUUUUUCCCUUGGGAGGUUUGCCAAUUGGGGUUGGCGGCUUAUGUUCUGGGGGUGGCUUCUCUCCCUUGGGAGGUUUGCCAAUUGGAGUCGGCGGCUUAUGUUCUGGGAGUGGCUUCUCUCCCUUGGGAGGUUUUGUUGGUGGCUUGUGUUCUGGAGAUGGCUUCUCCCCUGGAGGCUUGUGCUCCGGAGGUGGCUUCUGAAAUGGCGGGGGCUUGGGGUAAUGAGCAAGAGAUGGAGUACUGGUGAGAACCACCAUUCCAAGCAACAAUACUAGCAAGCAUGUGGGAGAC